GUGGGGAAUAUUGGACAAUGGGCGAAAGCCUGAUCCAGCAAUGCCGCGUGAGUGAAGAAGGCCUUAGGGUUGUAAAGCUCUUUUACCCGGGAUGAUAAUGACAGUACCGGGAGAAUAAGCUCCGGCUAACUCCGUGCCAGCAGCCGCGGUAAUACGGAGGGAGCUAGCGUUGUUCGGAAUCACUGGGCGUAAAGCGCACGUAGGCGGCUUUGUAAGUUAGAGGUGAAAGCCCGGGGCUCAACUCCGGAACUGCCUUUAAGACUGCAUCGCUUGAAUCUGGGAGAGGUAAGUGGAAUUCCGAGUGUAGAGGUGAAAUUCGUAGAUAGUCGGAAGAACACCAGUGGCGAAGGCGGCUUACUGGACCAGAAUUGACGCUGAGGUGCGAAAGCGUGGGGAGCAAACAGGAUUAGAUACCCGAGUAGUCC
rnacentral:rRNA from 1 species